rnacentral:rRNA from 1 species
AUUGAACGCUAGCGGCAGGCCUAACACAUGCAAGUCGAACGGCAGCACGAGGAGCUUGCUCCUUGGUGGCGAGUGGCGGACGGGUGAGUAACGCGUAGGGAUCUGCCUUUCAGUGGGGGACAACUCGAGGAAACUCGAGCUAAUACCGCAUACGCUCUACGGAGGAAAGUGGGGGACCUUAGGGCCUCACGCUGAAAGAUGAACCUGCGUCAGAUUAGCUUGUUGGUGAGGUAAUGGCUCACCAAGGCCACGAUCUGUAGCUGGUCUGAGAGGACGACCAGCCACACUGGGACUGAGACACGGCCCAG